rnacentral:rRNA from 1 species
CCUACGGGAGGCUGCAGUGAGGAAUAUUGGUCAAUGGGCGGGAGCCUGAACCAGCCAAGCCGCGUGAGGGAAGAAGGUACAGCGUAUCGUAAACCUCUUUUGUCAGGGAACAAAGGCGGGGACUAGUCCCCGGAUGAGGGUACCUGAAGAACAAGCAUCGGCUAACUCCGUACCAGCAGCCGAGGUAAUACGGAGGAGGCGAGCGUUAUCCGGAUUUAUUGGGUUAAAAGGGUGCGCAGGCGGCCUGUUAAGUCAGCGGGAAAAGCCCGGGGCUAAACCCCGGCGAGCCGUUGAAACUGGCGGGCUGGAGUUGGAGAGAAGUACGCGGAAUGCGCGGUGUAGCGGUGAAAUGCUUAGAUAUCGCGCAGAACCCCGAUGGCGAAGGCAGCGUACCGGCUCCACACUGACGCUGAGGCACGAAAGCGUGGGUAUCGAACAGGAUUAGAUACCCCGGUAGUC